rnacentral:rRNA from 1 species
UACGUAGGGGUGCGAGCGUUAAUCGGAAUUACUGGGCGUAAAGCGUGCGCAGGCGGCUUCGCAAGUCAGGCGUGAAAUCCCCGGGCUUAACCUGGGAAUGGCGUCUGAAACUACGGAGCUGGAGUGUGGCAGAGGGAGGUAGAAUUCCACGUGUAGCGGUGAAAUGCGUAGAUAUCUGGAGGAACAUCAGUGGCGAAGGCGACACCCUGGACUCAUACUGACACUGAGGUGCGAAAGCGUGGGGAGCAAACAGG